rnacentral:sRNA from 1 species
CAGGAUUCCUGGUUUUCAAGCCUGAGCUGAUCUCUCGGCUGGAGCAGGGAGAAGAGCCAUGGGUCCUCGACCUGCAGGGAGCAGAGGGGACAGAGGCACCAAGGACCUCCAAGACAGAUUCUACGAUUAGGACUGAAAAUGAGCAGGCCUGUGAGGACAUGGACAUCCUAGAAUCAGAAUCCUAUGGGACAGUGGUCAGAAUCUCCCCACAGGACUUUCCUCAGAAUCCUGGCUUUGG